GUCACACAUGAAAUCUCACACUAGUCCAGUCGGUGGCGGUAAUGCACCGAAAGCUCGCUUGCAACCUAACAAUCGAACGUCUCUCAAGAAGAAGAAGCAGCAGCAGCACACAUGAGAACGAGAUGAAGCAGUUGGAAUAAUUUCCAUGGGCUUUAUGUGAUUGUUGUGUAAAUGUCUGUAGUGUGUGCGAACUCCUGCGGCUGGCUGCUGGACUCCUGCUCUCUCCUCGAUGAAGGUCUGCAGUGCUGUGUGUCUCACAGUGAUGGCCUUGAUAAGCCAAAAUACUUCAAAUGCUGUUUCAAGAGGGAGUAUUUUAAUACAGUCAGACCCCACGUUCAGAUUCAACAAAACACUGAUAUCUUGACAAGCACUGCAAAACACAGCAGUGGUGAACAUGCAAAGAUUGAUCUGCAAACACGAAAGAAACGAAAGAGAAAGCGGCGUGAUCUUAAUACAGGGGAGUUAGAUGCCCAUAUUUAUCAUGGAAAGGUGACAAAAUUAGCUGUUUUUAUGCUUUAUUUAUUUCUUACAUCAACAAAACUUAAAGCAAUGUGUAUAAUUUCAUCAUAAUAAUUUGGAAAUAAUAGUAAUGGGAUCAAAUAAGAUUUGUAUUUAAUAUUUAUAUAUAUAGAGAGAGAGAUGAUAAUGAUAAUAUGAUAAUUUUCCUACAUUAAGAAUUGUGCAGUGUAGAUUAAAAAAUGUUGAACAGUAUAGUACAACACUACAACUAAAUAGUCACAUGACUUCAAUCGACCCUUCAUUUUUAAUUCUGUGUGGCAAACAGUGGUCGCUUUGCAUUGUAUACAUUAAAAAUGGUCAGAAAAAUCAGAUAAAAUAAGGAUUCAAGAAAAAAGUAAAUCAAAAUUUGUCACAAUGUAAAAUGAAUGUGGAGUUCACUGGAAGGUUAAGUUAAGUGUAUUGCUCGGUGGGAUAUGGUAUAGUAUUCUGUUGUACUGUAUUUUUUUGGCAAAUUCUGUCUUAGUGAUAAGCAGAAACAGUUUAAUGUAACAUAAACUGUUGUUUAAUACAACAUAAACUGUUUUCAUUUGAGGUGUUCCACAAGGCUCGGUUCUCGGUCCGCUUCUCUUUUUAA
ensembl:lncRNA